CAAACAAAACAUUCAUCCAUCUCUACUAUAGUGACGGAAUUAAAUUCCUUAAAAUUGGAAUGUAAAGACAGUCUUUGGUUUUUCCAAUUUCUUUGGUAGUUCAUAUGAGGAAGUAAGUACCAUCUGCUUUCGCAGAAAUCUAUUUUAUUCACUUUCUGAAUGUGAAGUACUUUCUCUUCUCUCAUUAAUCUUCUACUUCUUAUUAGCCAUACUUUUACAACGAUUGUAAAACAUAGUUACUAAUACGAAAUCAAACAUUCAAGUAGAAGAACCAACUGUUUUGAACUAUUGAAGAACAAUUUACAACACCUUCAAAAGGUGUGUUCUUGACACUUGUAAGACAUUUCUUGCAAAUACCCCUUCCAAUGUCCAUCCUUUCAUAAAUAAAGUUUGUUCCCUUGGAGUUAUUUCGCUUUCUUCAUUUGACUUCUCCUUUGACUACCAUAGUCAAGGUCCCUAAACUCCCACUAUCUCUCUUGAAACCUUUUUCAAUUGUGUUAAACACAUCAAACAAUUUGGAGAGCUUGUGGUUAUUGUUCACUAUAUAGUUUACAAUAAACUUAGUGAACUAUAAGGAUAGGGACACAAAGGUGAAGUCCUUGCCUAGUUUCCGUCUCGUUAAGUGGUUUAUCACUUCAACACUCAAUGAUUCAAAAUCAUCAUAAGUCCAUGCUAAUGGACUAUUUUUGUCAACCAACCAUUAUGUUCUAAACAUAAUUACAAACUUUCAAGAGUUGUUCAAAGCAACUC
rnacentral:lncRNA from 1 species